rnacentral:rRNA from 1 species
GACGAGCUCCCCAAACGUUAUUCGGUAUUACUGGGCUUAAAGAGUUCGUAGGCGGUCGUGUAGGUGAGGUGUGAAAGCCCUCGGCUCAACCGAGGAACUGCGCUUCAAACCGCACGGCUUGAGGAAGGUAGGGGUAUACGGAACAGAUGGUGGAGCGGUGAAAUGCGUUGAUAUCAUCUGGAACGCCGGUGGCGAAAGCGGUAUACUGGACCUUUUCUGACGCUGAGGAACGAAAGCUAGGGUAGCGAACGGG